GUGAGGAAUUUUCCGCAAUGGGCGAAAGCCUGACGGAGCAAUGCCGCGUGAAGGAUGAAGGCCUAUGGGUUGUAAACUUCUUUUCUUAGAGAAGAAUAUUGACGGUAUCUGAGGAAUAAGCAUCGGCUAACUCUGUGCCAGCAGCCGCGGUAAGACAGAGGAUGCAAGCGUUAUCCGGAAUGAUUGGGCGUAAAGCGUCUGUAGGUGGCUUCAAAAGUCUCCUGUCAAAGAUCAGGGCUUAACCCUGGGCCGGCAGGAGAAACUCUGAGGCUGGAGUUUUGUAGGGGCAGAGGGAAUUCCCGGUGGAGCGGUGGAAUGCGUAGAGAUCGAGAGGAACACCAAAGGCGAGAGAACUCUGCUGGGCCACAACUGACACUGAGAGACGAAAGCGAGGGUAGCAAAAGGAAUUAGAAACCCUUGUAGACC
rnacentral:rRNA from 1 species